UACGUAGGGGGCAAGCGUUGUCCGGAAUCAUUGGGCGUAAAGCGCGCGUAGGCGGCCCGGUAAGUCCGCUCUGAAAGUCCAGGGCUCAACCCUGGAAAGCGGGUGGAUACUGCCGGGCUAGAGUCCGGAAGAGGCGAGUGGAAUUCCUGGUGUAGCGGUGAAAUGCGUAGAUAUCUGGAAGAACACCGGUGGCGAAGGCGGUCAACUGGCCCUCAACUGACGCUGAGGCACGAAAGCGUGGGGAUCAAACAGG
rnacentral:rRNA from 1 species